rnacentral:rRNA from 1 species
CACAGGAAUCGUACCCGAAACCGACACAGGUGGUCAGGUCGAGUAGACCAAAGCGCUUGAGAGAACUCUGCUGAAGGAACUAGGCAAAAUGGUACCGUAACUUCGGGAGAAGGUACGCUGCUGACGGUGAUGGGACUUGCUCCCUGAGCUAUUGGCAGCCACAGAAACCAGGCCGCUGCAACUGUUUAUUAAAAACAUAGCACUCUGCAAACACGAAAGUGGACGUAUAGGGUGUGAUGCCUGCCCGGUGCUGGAAGGUUAAUUGAUGGGGUUAGCGUAAGCGAAGCUCUUGAUCGAAGCCCCAGUAAACGGCGGCCGUAACUAUAACGGUCCUAAGGUAGCGAAAUUCCUUGUCGGGUAAGUUCCGACCUGCACGAAUGGCAUAAUGAUGGCGGCGCUGUCUCCAGCAGAGGCUCAGUGAAAUCGAAAUCGCUGUGAAGAUGCAGUGUACCCGCGGCUAGACGGAAAGACCCCGUGAACCUUUACUGCAGCUUGACAUUGAACUUUGACCUUACUUGUGUAGGAUAGGUGGGAGGCUUUGAAGUUGGAACGCUAGUUCCAAUGGAGCCGUCCUUGAAAUACCACCCUGGUAAUGUUGAGGUUCUAACUCUGUCCCGUUAUCCGGGACGAGGACCAUGUCUGGUGGGUAGUUUGACUGGGGCGGUCUCCUCCUAAAGAGUAACGGAGGAGUACGAAGGUGCGCUCAGCGUGGUCGGAAAUCACGCGUAGAGUAUAAAGGCAAAAGCGCGCUUAACUGCGAGACCCACAAGUCGAGCAGGUACGAAAGUAGGUCUUAGUGAUCCGGUGGUUCUGUAUGGAAGGGCCAUCGCUCAACGGAUAAAAGGUACUCUGGGGAUAACAGGCUGAUACCGCCCAAGAGUUCAUAUCGACGGCGGUGUUUGGCACCUCGAUGUCGGCUCAUCUCAUCCUGGGGCUGAAGCAGGUCCCAAGGGUAUGGCUGUUCGCCAUUUAAAGAGGUACGCGAGCUGGGUUUAGAACGUCGUGAGACAGUUCGGUCCCUAUCUACCGUGGGCGCUGGAAAUUUGAGAGGAUCUGCUCCUAGUACGAGAGGACCAGAGUGGACGAACCUCUGGUGUACCGGUUGUGACGCCAGUCGCAUCGCCGGGUAGCUAUGUUCGGAAGGGAUAACCGCUGAAAGCAUCUAAGCGGGAAGCCUACCUCAAGAUAAGAUUUCCCUAGGAAUUUAUUCCUCUAAAGAGCCGUUCGAGACUAGGACGUUGAUAGGUUGGGUGUGGAAGCACGGUGACGUGUGAAGCUGACCAAUACUAAUUGCUCGUGAGGCUUGACUAUACAACACCCAAACAGUUG